GAUGAACGCUGGCGGCGUGCCUAAUACAUGCAAGUCGAGCGAACGGACGAGAAGCUUGCUUCUCUGAUGUUAGCGGCGGACGGGUGAGUAACACGUGGAUAACCUACCUAUAAGACUGGGAUAACUUCGGGAAACCGGAGCUAAUACCGGAUGAUAUUUUGAACCGCAUGGUUCAAAAGUGAAAGACGGUCUUUCUGUCACUUAUAGAUGGAUCCGCGCUGCAUUAGCUAGUUGGUAAGGUAACGGCUUACCAAGGCAACGAUGCAUAGACGACCUGAGAGGGUGGUCGGCCACACUGGAACUGAGACACGGUCCAGACUCCUACGGGGAGCAGCAGUAGGGAAUCUUCCGCGAUGGACGAGAGCCUGACGGAGCAACGCCGGGUGAGUGAUGAUGGUGUACGGAUCGGAAAACUCUGUUAGUAGGAGAGAACAUAUGUGUAAGUAACUGUGCACAUAUUGACGGUACCUAAUCAGAAAGCCACGGCUAACUACGUG
rnacentral:rRNA from 1 species